rnacentral:rRNA from 1 species
UACGUAGGGGGCAAGCGUUGUCCGGAAUCAUUGGGCGUAAAGAGCGUGUAGGCGGUCCGGUCAGUCGGUUGUGAAAGUCAAGGGCUCAACCCUUGAAUGCCGGCCGAUACUGCCGGGCUAGAGUCCGGAAGAGGUGAGUGGAAUUCCUGGUGUAGCGGUGAAAUGCGCAGAUAUCAGGAGGAACACCGGUGGCGAAGGCGGUUCUCUGGGCCUUACCUGACGCUGAGGAGCGAAAGCGUGGGGAGCGAACAGG